AAACAAGAGGUACCCUUGAACACGAAAUAAUGGUAAAACGAAAGACCUUGUACAUAGACAAGGAACGCGGUCAGUACUGUCAGCAUUGGCAAUCUUUAAUUGGAACAUACGGAUUAUAAGGUUAUUAAUUUUAAAUGGCAGAAGAGAAACGAAUAUCGCAUUCUGUGAAACGUAACCUAAUGCAAGAGAUAGCGAAUGUAGCACAAGAAAAAGAAGAAAAGGAUGUGAAUUUGGAGGUCCCUGAAGAUGUCGAGGAAACAGCUCAGCAACCAGUUUAUCAAAUUCGACCGCCACUUCACGAAAAAUUUAAACCUUUAAGUGCAAAAGAGAUAAUACACGAUGUUUUAUUUGAUCAACUUGCUACGAAGUCAUAUGAUGCACAAGCAGCUGCUCAAUGGACCAAAGAUAUAGCAGAUAUUAUUGAAAGAAAAAUCAAAGACUUACAGUUCAAAAGGUAUAAAUAUAUUGUCAAUGUGGUUUUGGGACAGCAACAUGGUGCUGGUGUAAAAAUAGGUACAAGAUGCAUUUGGGAUGCAGAAGCUGAUACAUAUGCUUAUGAUAGUUUUAUAAAUGAGAACAGCGGAGAUACGAAGAAAUUAGGUCGCUCAUCUGUUAUAAGCGGUCCUAAUAUGGCUACGUUUGUGUAUUAUGCGUGACCGCAAAGAACGUGAACUACGACCGUAAAGUCUUUGCCAAAUACAGAGAUACAAGGAGAACUUUCUCGCUCCCACACGUGCUGCUUUAUAGAGCGUUACAGACUUUCGCAGAAACUUUCGCACUCGAAGCCGGUUUGUGGACAAGACUCGCGACCAGAGCGGCAGCUUUUAGGUUCGAGUAAGUGUAGUUUCAUGAUUUUCAUCAAGUAUGAUUUUUAUUACUCGUAGAAAUUCUUUAACAUAUUAUAUUGACUAUUUGAUAAAAUAUAUUGAAAAAAAGAGUUGAAUACAUGACAUAAAUGAUCUUAUGCGCCCAUUCUACAUUAUUAAAUACCACUGCAUUGUACUUUAAUAAAUAUAAUGUCGAGUUUCGAAAAAGCUGAUUUUUCAUGUUAAAAAUUUAUGAAACUGGAUUAAGAGAUGACAUCAUAGUCUGGAAACUAAAUCGGCGGAAGUGCCAAAUGGUCCUGUAUUUAUUCCGGAGGCAUCAAUGCGAAUGAGGCCAUCGGGCCAAGGAGGCCUUCCGAGAAUCGGCAGCUAAAGAGGUUUACACGACCGCCUCUAAAAUCUUGAAACACACGAUGGAAAUUCAUUGCUGGAAUUCGUAUUUCAUUGACUACUACGCGAGUAACCGUAAUAUAAUUAAUCGUAUAAAAGAGAAGAAAAGGAGUUCUUAAGAGGGAUCUAAGCUUGACAAUGAUAGACUUUUUAUUGAAGGCGAGUUUCGGCAAAGGGGCCCAAGGACAGAUGAAUGCGGAUCAAGGUCAAUUACGAGUAUUGUGUCUCCGCGACGAAUAUCUCUGCCUUGAUUAUGACUUACGAGUUAUAAAUGGCACUUGAACUGUAUACACAUUUAUCAAGAUUACGACUAAACAUAGUUUACUCUCAGCUGAGAUACACUACGCUAUGAAUAUAUACUAUU
rnacentral:misc_RNA from 1 species